UUGCUGCCCUUGUCCUCCAAGAUAAAAGCAGUUAUGGAAGGCGCUGUCUAAAGAGGCUUGGCUUUUCAAGAGUACUAUGUUGGACUUGAACCUGGAGGAUAGCUUCAUUAUCUCUAUGAAUAUCAGGCCAGAACAUAACUUUACAAUUCACACUGGAGCUACCAUCAUUGUUGUGUUCAACAGUUGGCAUCUCAAAUUUGAAGGAUUCAUCUUGUUCACCAAAUUGAGAUCCACAAUUUGAAAUAAGCUGCUGAUGGUCAUCUGCUACAGGAUCCUGCAAGUCCCUCGGUGUAUAGUUCCACUGAUGAAUGGUAUUUGGUUUCUUGUCCCAUUUUCUUUGUAGCAACCAGUGAACAGAAAUAUUCUCGGGCCUAUACCCAGAAAUCUGACAAUUCAGAAGAGCUUCUUGAAAAUGUAUAAUCCGUGGAGGUUUGCUGAUGUCAGAAACUUUUGGAGGAACUAAAAAAAGAACAUUUGGCAGUUAAUCCAUUCUUUAUCACAGAGCCUGUCAUUUCAAAAAUAUCAGCAUGAAUUCAUCCUAUGCUGGACAUUAUUACUGGAAUAACAAAUAUUAACACAAUACAACAGUUGAGGUAAUCUCUAACUAAAAAUGAAAUAAAAUAACCUGUUUCUUAUUGAAACAAAUUUGCUUUGAUCAAAUGAUCAUUAGGAUUCCUGAGUUAAAAUAAAAGUAUGAGAGGUAGAAAGGCACAAAUAGACAAAUCACAAACCAAGUAUGAAACUAAGGCAAAAGUAUAGAAACAUCAGGAUAAAAGGACAGAAGUCAGUAACUAAACAGAACAGCAGAGAUCAGUAAAGCAUGAAGGAAACCAGUGUUCCACAAAAUAGUGAGAAAAUCAUCCAAGAAAAAGCUAGACCCAGAGGGAAAUCAAAUAGGCAUAGAGAUCUGGGGAGAAAGAUCAGUGGACAUAAAAAUCAGGCAACCACCACAAUGAGCGUCACAAGAAGGGAGAGAGAGGACAAAAUAGAGAGACAUUAUGUGUCUCACCAUGAGCAACAUUAUAGGAGAUUUAAAAUAUACUGGUAUCUUAAAAACAAUCUUACAUCUCCAAAUAUGCCCCAUGACACUUGACUUCCUGCUAUCACUCUCUUAUUACCCUUUUUAUAAAUUGUUCUGCUCAGAUUUACAAUGGUUUUGCUGAUGCAACCAAGUCAUUUUGUGAAAUCUUGGAACACAAGUUCCCACAAAUAACUCAAAAUACUUUGUAAAAUAGUUUUGCAUCCAACAUUAUAACUAUUAGUUUCUGCGGGAAAUAAUAUCAAAAUAAGAUGUAAAAAUACUUGUAAUUAUCAUAUCAACAUGAUUAAAUUCAUUGAUGUCUUCUAAUGCAUUCAUUAAAGUUUUUACUGAAGACUUCAGCCUGGCCCAAAGCUUUGGCUUAGAAUUGACGCAUUUGCUUGAAUCUGUGACUUUCAGUUGAAUUUAUUUUUUGUACUAUGGCCACAUGUAGGGCACCGAAUUUGUCUGGAUACAUUCGUACCAGUUAGCUGUACCGUUUUCAUCAGCUGCUAGCACUUACACCUAGAAGUAUUCUUGGGCAAGAAAUCAAAUGGGAUACAUUUCAAAAGCAUAAUAAAAUAUAUUGAUUUUUUUUAAAGACAAUAUUUAUGAAUGAUCAGCACUGGUGUGUUAACAGAACACUGUAUUGUGUUUAUAAACUCAGAAAAUAUAUUUAGCCAAAUGUGAGACAGAGGUGAGAACACACAAAGGGGUGAAAGCAUGAGCGCUCACAAACAUGAUAGUGGUGUGGUGGGAGGGCAAACAGGGAGCAGUAGUUUUCAAGCUCCUUGCAUUUAAUUUCUACAUUUCCUGCUCCUCAGUUCAGAGCUGUUAUUUCAUUUUGAGUAAAAUGUUCAAGCCAGAGAACAGAAGUUCAUGAUAUCUUAUGAAUAUUUAUAUUUCCCUCUUUUGAUGGACAUUGUAACUUUAAACUGAGCUGUUCAGAAGUAAACAAAUGCAAAGUAGUAUUUAGUCACAUGCAGAGUAAAAUAGUUAUUUUUAAAAAUGUGGAGUUUGGUAACUUAAGAAAAAAGCCUGGGUUAUUACUUUGUUUACAGUACUUUUGAUUGACUAUUUGCAAAUAAUAUUGAUAAAACUAAGUUUAUUCCCAAAAAUCUAAAGUUUCUUAUUUGAAAGACCUGCUAUGUUGGGGCUCCUUGCCAAUAUACUGCAGUAAUAUCACUCAUGCUGCUUGCUGCAUAACUUUAGAUGACCUCUGAUAAAAUCAAUAGUUGCCCAGUUCUAAGAAAAGCACUCAAACAAAAACUCCAACAGAGAUGAGCCAUCUCAGUACAGAUCAAGAAUAAUCCCUCUUGUAUUUCUAAAGUGAUUUGAAGAAUAUUUUACCUUUUCUGAAAUACUUCAAGUACAUUAAAAAUCCAAUGCCAAUGAUCGCUGUACACACCCAUAUGCUAACAAUUACACUUGCAGUUAUUAUCCCCACUGGUAUAACAACUUCUGGCUCUGUAGAUAAAAUAAACAUGUAUUUCAACUGUGAAUAGCAAAAUGGAGCAACAUCUGUAAAUUGAGACUUAUUCCAAGACAAUGGUUUAUCUUAAAAGUAAAAUAAAAUACAAAUGGACAGCAAGUUGAUAAAGUUUAACGCCUCAUGUUAAAGGCUCUCAGAGUUGUGAUUAAUAUUAACCUAUAUCCCUCAAAUGUUGAUCAGUCUUUGCAUCUUUUCAGAAUUUCUUAAUUUUACUUGAGCUCCAGAAUUUGAAGUUUUUCUAAAUCUUCACAAUACUUCUAAGAAAUGAAAACAUUACUAUGAUGUAGCUUUCUUAACUCAUUGUACACUGCACUGGACAGGAACAGUAUGUCACAUCAAUUAAAAAAAUUCAAAAUUCCAGAUAUUAGAAAUCUGAAACAAAAACAGAAAAUACUGCAAACAUUCUGCUGGUCAAGUGGUAUCUGUGGAGAGAGAACAGAGAAGUUAAUUUUUUGGGUGCUGAAUCAUUAUCAAAACAGAAGAAAGAGGUAGACAUGGGUGUUAGUACAAUUAGUUGUGACGGGGAAAACUUUUUUUUAAACAACCGCCAAACCCAGUAAGGAAUCAUUAAGUUCAAAAGAUCACUGAACUGGAUUAAAACAUUAAAUAAAGAACAUGACAAAUGAAUAGCAUUUAAAAAGGAACUGCAGAAAAUGAGACAAGAAGCCUGAGAGAUAUAAACAAAUAAGGAAUAUACAUUACACGGAGUACAUGCAAACAGCUGAGGCUGUGGGAAGCUAGGCAGAUAGAAUUAAAGUACAGAAAACUGACAAAGCGAAGUUCAAUCCAGCAGCUCAGGAACCUUGGAAAAAAAUAAAUAAAAGCAGGUUAACACCAAGAACGAAGGUUGCCUGCUAGUCGAGCAUUUCCUAACCUGGAAACGCAAGCACAUCCAUCCCAAUCACCAGUACCUCCUACCAAAGAGAAAGUGGGAACCGAAGCUAGUAAAGUCAAUGUUAAGGUUAAAGGAUUGAAGAGUGCUUGAUAGAAAGGUAAGGUGCUCUAUCUGGAGCUUGAUUUGAGCUUCAUUAGAACAAUAAAUGAAGGCUAAAGACAGACGUGACAGAGUGGAAAUAGGAUGGAGAAAGUAGCAAGCAAUAGGAAAUUUUGGACCACACCUGUGUUCAGCAAAAUGAUCACUGAAUCUGAUGUUGGAACUGAUGGAAAUGGAGGAAGAUCACCUACUGGAUAUGGAAGUGGACCCAGCGUGGCUUAAAACAGCACAAGGAGGAGCAAGAACAGACUCAAAAUCUAAUGUGAACUUUUCAAAACAUUCAAAUUAAAAGACAUGCUCUGAGUGUUUCUUUCAAAUCUGGUUAAAUAGUGAUCAGAACUUGAAAAUUGUUUCCAAAGAGAUAUGGGAAGUAUUCUGUUCCUCUUCUACAGUUGGUCUGUACGAUUAUAAUGUUUUUUUUGAGAAGCUGUCUUUAAUUCUUUUGGUCUUAACAUCCUGGCUACACCAAAAAAUAAUCUUAGGUUUCCAGGGCUACAUGAGUACUGAUAAUACAGCAAGGGACCAGGUGUCUUACAAAUUCAAGAACUUAUCUACAGACAUCGAACUUGGACUAAAGUCUGUUCCCAGGAAUGCACACCAAGAUAAAUAUCAACUACGGCUGGAGGGCCAUCAACUUGGUGAAAGAUACUCAUUCGUCUGCCUGAAAUUUGGUGUCUUCCAGUGCAAAGAGUCGUCCUCAACUGAGUGUUGCAGACUGGCACAUUCUAAGACCCAGGACUGCGUGCUAAAGGACACACUAAAGCUUGGGGCAGCUGCAGCAGAGGCAGAGGCACAAUGGGGAAAGACUGCUUCUAAGGCCUUUCAGCCAUCGUACAAUGAGGGGCUGGAAACUGUAUAAAACACCUGGGGCUGUAUGACUGACUAAGAAUGUACAUUAUGAACAUCAAGAGUAUUGAAAGGGUAUUGAGGGGCCUCAAAGUGGAACAUGCUGUAUGGAGAAAAGUUGAAUUCUAUUACACUUUUAAUUUUCAAUUUUUAACGUUUUGGCCAGAAUUUUAUGUUCGGUCAGGCGGGCCCGACUGACUCGGUGGCGGAUGGGCUGCCAAUUGCCGCUGGCAAAACCGGCCGCGCCACCAUUUUCCGUGGGCAGGCCUCAACUCCCGUAGAGAACGGGAAAAUAGUCGCGGGGGCGGGCAGCCUGUUCAAAGAGUGGCCAGGCAGCCUGCUUGAAGCAGUGCACCAUGGUCAAUUGGCAAGUUAAGGGGCUUAAUGAGCCCUUCAAUUAAUGGUGGUAAACUGAGCGUGCUCACCCACCGAAAUAUCGUGAUGCCACACGCUGAUGUCAGCACGCUCGCGCGACAUUUUACAUGCUGACGUGCAGGGUACGUCAGCUGGGAAAUUCUGCCCUUUGCUCUAUGGUUGUAUUCUUGACAUGGAAUGUAUAUUGUAAAUAUCAAGGGUUUUACAACUCUAUUGAGGCACCCUAGAGUAGAACCUGCUGUAUGGAAACAAGAUGAAUUUUUUUGCACUGUCAUUUCCAAGUUUUGUAUUGUACUAUUACAAAUUUUAAAAAUAAAUUAUAUUCUUGGGGGGAAAAAAAUCCAAAAAGCUAUUAAACCAGCCACAAGACAAUUCAGUCAAGCUAAAACAGCUAUACCUGGAAAGAGAGGAAAGAAAUCUUCGCCCCAGCUUGUUCCAACUUCAAGUUAACCUGAGAACUGACCUCCUGGCAAUUCAACUACAAGAACCUCAGAGGUUAUUGAGAAUACUCUGCUUUUACCUGAGCUCCACUACAGCAUUCAGUUAAGAAACAACAGGUCUGCUGCAAAAGAGGCUGAAAUUACAUUACAACUUGUAACUGUAUUGCUUUUCUACUCAUCCUUAUCUAUUGCGCGCGGGAUAUUGUAUUAAAACCACAGGAC